rnacentral:tRNA from 1 species
UAGAAUUUAGGUUAUUAGUAGACUUUGAAUUUUCAAGAUUCAAGGAACUUAGGUAGUUCUAG